GAGCGAUUGCACCAGGGUUCUUAGACACUGAUAUAUUCAGACUCCAGACGUUGCAACACGUGAUGAGAAUGACACGAACAUGGGACUCAACGAUGUCUAUGAUACCUAAGGGAGGUGACACGAUAUGGGGCGGUCUUGAUUGGGCGCCGGAGAAAGGGCACACUUGUUCUGGUAAAAAGAAAAGUAGCAACAAGACUCGAGGAGAAGCUGGUGAAAACUCAGUUUCCAAGACAAAGCCUGUUAACUACGGAAGAAUCAUAUCAUUUGGGAAAGAUGUGGCUGAGGCUGCGCCGUCUGAUAUUGAAAACAUUGAUUUUCGAGUAAGGACAUAUAAACUCUUAUACUUUUUCUGUGACUAGGUGAUUAAUAUAUAGGUUUUAUUUGGUGAUAGGGUGCGGUGAAAGGUCAGAGUAUCCCAAACAACACAUGCCGUGACGUGUGGACAGAGUACCAUGAUAUGGGAAUUGGAGGGAUCAAAGCUAUUGCUGAGUAUAAGGUCUACACUGCUGACGCGGUUAUAGAUUUGUUACAUUAUGUUGCUCCUAAGAUGAUGGCGCGUGGCGCCGCCCAUUUCUCCUAUGGGAUUGCUGAUGAUUUGGAUGACCCCAAGUACGAACAUCACAGGCACUGGUCCAAUCCAUUGGAAACAAAGUAAGUGAUUUGUUUUGGUACCAACUCUAUGCUUUGUCCUCAUGCAUUCAGUAUUAGUCUCUUAUUUUCCAUCUUGUUGAAUAUGCUUUAUCAAUUUAAAGCUAAGAGCAUUCCCGAUGGUACUCUAUUUUUCACUUUAAGAUAGAGUCGAGAGUAAAAAUGUUCCAAUAGUAUUCUAUUUUUUACUCUAUAAUAGAGUAAAAAAUGAGUUUACUUUGCAAAUAGAGUAGCUCAUUUAUUUUUUGCUGACCACUCUAUUUUUCACUAUAAAAUAGAUUAUCAUCGGAAUAUAAUUCAACUCCAGAGUUAUUCUAUUUUGAAGGAAAAAAUAGAGUGAACCAUGGAUAUGGUCUAACAUAGCUGUUUGAGUCUUUUUUUGAAAUGACUUGCUUAAUUAUGUUUAGCUUUUAAAGUUGAUACAUGUGAUGCUUGCUUAUAAAACAAGCUCUAGGAUGGCUUUGACGUGACAAAUAAAUCAACUUAUUCAAAAUCUAUUUAGCUGAAAACCCUUAAACCAGCUUCUAGUUUUAGAGUUUAUCUAUCCCAAUAAGGAUCAUUUUUCCUCUAUCUUAUCCUUAAAACCCUCGUUUGGUUUGUUCUGUUGUUUCAGGCUACCCAAUGCCCCUGAAAUGGAGAUCUACUCACUGUAUGGAGUUGGGAUACCAACAGAACGAUCAUACAUCUACAAGCUCAAUCAGUCUCCAGACAGCUGCAUCCCCUUUCAUAUUUUCACUUCUGCUCACGAGGAGGACAAAGAAAGCUGUCUGAAAGCAGGAGUUUACAACUCAAAUGCUUUCUGAGAACUGAAAAAGAGAUUUUUAAAAGUUUCCACAUUAGUUAUGUCUUUAAUCUCAUCUGUCCUCGUUCUGUUAGCUAGCUAUGAACUCCUCUUUUGUAUGUUAUGAUCUGCAUCUUUCUUUUUUCGGCUCACUGAUCUUCUUUUUUUUGCUCUUUUAGAGAUGGGACAGUGUUACCGUUGGAGACUAAUAAUGUUAUUGUUUAUAGUAUCUUUAGAUGAUUGAUUAUUUUCUUUGAUUCAGGCCUCUAUGUUGGGUGGAACACAUGUCACUUGACAACGAAACUGGUUUAGAUCCUGCUGGUAUUAGGAUUAGAGCUGUGUCAGGACUCGUGGCUGCUGAUUACUUCGCUCCUGGCUACUUUGUCUGGGCGGUGCUGAUUGCUAACCUUGCACAUAUUGGAUACGAGGAGAAGAACAUGUACAUGGCUGCAUAUGACUGGAGGCUUUCGUUUCAGAACACAGAGGUUCUUCUCUCAUUAAACAAACUCUCUUAUUCUUUCUUUUAUCUCUUAGGUUCUAACUGUCUUUCAUAUGUUUGAAUCAUUAGGUGCGUGACCAGACGCUUAGCCGUAUGAAAAGCAAUAUAGAGUUGAUGGUUUCCACCAACGGUGGGAAGAAAGCAGUUAUAGUUCCUCAUUCCAUGGGGGUAUUGUAUUUCUUACAUUUUAUGAAAUGGGUGGAGGCACCAGCUCCUAUGGGCGGCGGUGGUGGGCCUGAUUGGUGUGCAAAGCAUAUCAAAGCGGUGAUGAACAUUGGUGGACCGUUUCUUGGUGUUCCAAAAGCUGUUGCAGGGCUUUUCUCUGCUGAAGCAAAGGAUGUUGCAGUUGCCAGGUAUUGAAUUAGCCACUAGAUAUCAGUUUUAAUAGUAGUGUUAUAUUGUCUCUGCUACUAUUAGUUUGGUUGGUUAGAUUUGCUGCUUUAUGAAACUGGAACUCUCUUGAGAUUUAAACAAUUGAUGAAUUUGGCAUUGUCACUUACGAAACUGGAACUCCCUUGCAGAGCGAUUGCACCAGGGUUCUUAGACACUGAUAUAUUCAGACUCCAGACGUUGCAACACGUGAUGAGAAUGACACGAACAUGGGACUCAACGAUGUCUAUGAUACCUAAGGGAGGUGACACGAUAUGGGGCGGUCUUGAUUGGGCGCCGGAGAAAGGGCACACUUGUUCUGGUAAAAAGAAAAGUAGCAACAAGACUCGAGGAGAAGCUGGUGAAAACUCAGUUUCCAAGACAAAGCCUGUUAACUACGGAAG
rnacentral:lncRNA from 1 species